rnacentral:lncRNA from 1 species
UCCAGCUUGGGCUACAGAGUGAGAGACUCUUGUCUCAAAAAAAAAAAAAAAAAAAAAAAGACCCUGUCGACAGGCCCUCCCCUGGGCUGGCACCUGCCCACACCAGCUGGAACCUAACACCUUUGCACAGCUGUUCCCUGCCAGCCUCCCUGCCUCCUUGGAGGUCUGCACACACCGCCCCUCCCUUCCUCCAACCAGCCCAGGAGACCAGCACGCCUGAGCACCAGCACUCCCAGAGACAGAGCCGGCACGAGCCAGGACAGCAGCCGCCAGGGCCCUAGGCCCCUCUGUGGGUGGUUGGCCCACUGGAGAGCCGGAGCAGCGAGGCCAGCAAUGACCAAAGGCGCCGUAUCCAGAAUGCAGGCAGGCUCAGGCGCACCUGCCCUCCCUGGAUGCCACUACAGAUUCGGGGAGACUGAACUCAUGGGAUCAAGUGCCCCACAGAUCCUGGUCCUCACAAGGGACAAGGCCACCAGGUGUCACACUGGGAGACAGUGGCACCCCAGGGUAUGAAAGGCCACACCAGGCUUAUGUCCAGUAACCCUGCCUGCACAGCACAGCACGGCACGGCAUCCAUACCGCAGCACAGCCCCGCCCUCCGGCAGUGCCAAGCCCGGGAUCUCAGGGCCCCCACCAGAAACCAGACAGGUCAUGAAACCUCAGAUGGGAGGAAACGGGAGAGACACAACAACUAAAUGCCACGUGGGAUCCUGAGGGGGAGCCUGAACCAGACAACCGACAUGAGUCGGAAGACUGACAAAAUUCAGUGCAGUCUGGAGUGCUACGGUUAGAAUGUGACUGGUUUGUUCCCACCAAAACUCAUCUUGACAUUUGGUCCCCAGUGUGGCAGUGUUGGAAGGUGGGGCCUGGGGUGAGGUAUCUGAAUCAUGGAGGCCGAUCCCUCGUGAGUGGCUUGAUACUGUUCUCAAGGUAGCAAGGGAAUUCUUGCUCUGGAGAGGCUUGAUUAGUUCCCGAGCCUGGGUUGUUAUAAAAGCAGGACACUCCCUGGGUUUCCCUUCUUUGCACACAUGGGCUUUCCCUUUGACCCUCUCCACCACGUUAUGACACAGCACAAAAAGGCCUCACCAGAAGCCAGGGCCAUGCUCUUGAACUUCCCAGCCUGCAGAACCAUGAGCUAAAUAAGCUUCUUUUCUUUAUAAAUUACCCAGUCUCAGGUAUUCCAUUAUAGCAACACAAAAUAGACUAAAACUAAGACACUAAGUACCAACGCUUAGUAUCAACCUACAAAGUUCCUGGUUUCAGUCCUUGUUCUACGUUGCAUACGGAGGAAGCUGGGUGAAGGGCACAGAGGAAAUCUAUGCUAUUUUUGCAACUUUUCUUGCAAUUUUUCCAAGACAGCAUAGAUCUAAAGUUAUUUCAAAAUUAAAACUUUAAACACAUAAAAAUAAAACUGGGCCCCAGCCUCCCUCAGUGCUCUCUGGCCGGUCCAUUCUUCACAUUGGCUGCCUUUCCCUGGAGUGGAGGCGCCCACUGCAUCCCCAGUGUCCAGGGAGCAGGUCCUGUAGAAGGUGGUAGGUUCCAGGGAUCGGGGAGCAAGUACAGAGGCCCUGAGAAGGAAGCAAGCCUGGCGUGUUCCAGGAACACCAGGGAGAACCGUGUAGCCGGAGCAAUGCUCUUGUGCAGAGGGCCUAUGCCUGAGCCAC